AUUGAACGCUGGCGGCAGGCUUAACACAUGCAAGUCGAACGAGUGGCGGACGGGUGAGUAAUGCCUGGGCAUCUGGCCUAUGGAGGGGGAUAACUACGGGAACCUGUAGCUAAUACCGCGUACCAUAGGAUGAGCCCAAGUGGGAUUAGGUAGUUGGUUAGGUAAAGGCUCACCAAGCGGACGAUCCCUAGCUGGUCUGGGAGGAUGACCAGCCGCACUAGGACUGAGACACGGCCCGGAGUCCUACGGGAGGCAGCAGAGGGGAAUAGUGCGCAGUGGGGGGAACCUGACGCAGCCAUGCCGCGUAAGUGAAGAAGGCCAUCGGGUUGUAAAGUUCUUUCGGUAGCGAGGCGUUAACUGCAGAAGAAGCACCGGCUAACUCCGUGCCAGCAGCCGCGGUAAUUC
rnacentral:rRNA from 1 species